rnacentral:RNase_P_RNA from 2 species
CAAGUCAGUCAGGCAAUCGCCCCGAUUUAUUGGGGAGGAAAGUCCGGACAUUUCCUAUGUAAAUAGGAGCAAAGUAGCGGGUAACUCCCGUCCGUAGUGAUGCGCGAGGUGCGAGCAGAGACGCCUUGAUUUGAAAAAAUCGGGCACCCUUCGGGGUGAGUCUUGAUGGAAACAUCAAGAGUGAAACGGCUAAAUCCUUACUUAAAUGCAAGACCGUACUCCGAUGCAAAGCAUCGGGAAUAUCUAAUUUCUAAUAUCUAAUUUCUAAUAAAUUUCUAAUAUUUAAUUUCAAAUGUCUAAAAUUUUUAUUCAUUGGUUAUUAAAAAAUUGGGAUUUUAUUGGAAAUUGGAAAUUGGUUAUUGGUAAUUCUGACGCUUUGCGUCGGUUUGUGUCGCUCGAUCCCAAUGGCAACAUUGGGAUAAGAUAAAUGAUUGUCCCAGACAGAAUCCGGCUUAUCGGUUGGCUUGAUAA